rnacentral:rRNA from 1 species
GGCGAACGCUGGCGGCGUGCUUAACACAUGCAAGUCGAACGGUAAGGCUCUAGCUUGCUGGGGUACACGAGUGGCGAACGGGUGAGUAACACGUGGGUGACCUGCCCUGCACUUCGGGAUAAGCCUGGGAAACUGGGUCUAAUACCGGAUAGGACCAUGGUGUGGAUACUGUGGUGGAAAGUUUUUUCGGUGUGGGAUGGGCCCGCGGCCUAUCAGCUUGUUGGUGGGGUAAUGGCCUACCAAGGCGGCGACGGGUAGCCGGCCUGAGAGGGUGGACGGCCACAUUGGGACUGAGACACGGCCCAGACUCCUACGGGAGGCAGCAGUGGGGAAUAUUGCACAAUGGGCGGAAGCCUGAUGCAGCGACGCCGCGUGGGGGAUGACGGCCUUCGGGUUGUAAACUCCUUUCACCAUCGACGAAGGGUUUCUGACGGUAGAUGGAGAAGAAGCACCGGCUAACUACGUG